UAGAUACCCUGGUAGUCCACGCCCUAAACGAUGAACACUCGCUGUUGGCGGUACACAGUCAGCGGCUAAGCGAAAGCGUUAAGUGUUCCACCUGGGGAGUACGCCCGCAAGGGUGAAACUCAAAGGAAUUGACGGGGGCCCGCACAAGCGGAGGAGCAUGUGGUUUAAUUCGAUGAUACGCGAGGAACCUUACCCGGGCUUGAAAGUUAGUGAAUUAUCUAGAGAUAGAUAAGUGAGCAAUCACACGAAA
rnacentral:rRNA from 1 species